rnacentral:lncRNA from 1 species
GGUUGUGCAAUUGUGAAAAUCCUUUCUGGUUGACGCACAGGUCCAAUGUGAAAGAAUUCGAGAACCUGAAAAGUCUGGCAAAAGGGAAGUUUAUUGUUGGCACGGAGAAGCUAGCUUUGCUAGUGGCAAGGUCCUGUCAGAGAAAUAACAAAGAUUAUGACUGAGAAGAGAAUGUCUUCACAACGGGCAGGAGUUCUGGCAGGCAGCUGUGUGAAGAGGAGAAAGUAGCAUAAUCCUACUUCGGAUUUUGGCAGAGAUUUGGAGUUCAAAAUUGUCUUUUUGCAAUCUGGCUUGUUUGAGGCUUGGGCUUCCAUUGAAAAUUGGAUGAGAAUCCCUCAGUGUUGUCAAUGACCCCAGGCCUAGAUUUCCAGUUGAAAGUUUAUCUUGGAGUUUCAAGCCACUUAAUAGGAAUAUCAAGCUCAGAUCUCCAAUUGAAUAACAUAAUUUUGAAGACUUUUCUCCAGAGUCUUGGGAAUUUCAUGAAGAGCCAACCCAAAAGAUCAAAAAGAAAGGGAAGUGAUAGUAGAAAAGAGAGAGAAUUCUUUUGGGGGAAAUGAAGUACAGUUCCUUUAAAAAAGUAAUGAUCAACUUCAAAUGGAAAAAUAAAGAAUCUGAAAAGAUGAGAUGGAAUGAAAUCUUAAUUUGUGAUAAGAGGUUGUAGGAUAGAAAAAUGUGACACAAGGAAGAAAAGGACCAGUUACUUUUAGAGAUCUGUAAUAGCUAUGAGUUUCUUAUCUUAAAUUAAACUCCCUAAAGAGGAAGACAUUUCUGUGCUUCAAAGAAUGAUGAUGAAGACACACAGAAAGAAAGCAUUUAUUAUUGGACAGAACAAGAUUGUUUCCUAACUCCCUUCUGAGAGGAUUUUAUGCUCAUCUCACAUGGAACAAGAGGGAAUUAUGUUGCUUUAUUAUGGCAUGAUGUAACCGAGGGUCCCCUUUAAGACUUGUCAAAUAUGGGAAUCACCAGGCCCAAGGAAUGUUUCACAUACUAUCAGAUUUGGGGUCCAUGUUGGCUUGUUUUGUUUACAUUUUUUCCUUUAUUCAAAAAGAUAUUCUAAGGGGAAAGAAAG